CCUACUGGAGGCAGCAGUGAGGAAUAUUGGUCAAUGGGCGCAAGCCUGAACCAGCCAAGUAGCGUGCGGGAUGACUGCCCUACGGGUCGUAACCCUCUUUUGCACGGGGAUAACGCCCACCAUGUGUGCAGCUUUGCAUGUACCUUGCGAAUAAGGAUCGGCUAAUUCCGUGCCAGCAGCCGCGGUAAUACGGAGGGCCCGUGCGUUAUCCGGAUUUAUUGGGUUUAAAGGGUGCGUAGGCGGCCUUUUAAGUCAGUGGUGAAAGUAUGCGGCUCAACCAGAGAAUUGCCGUUGAAACUGGGAGGCUUGAGUAUGUUUGAGGCAGGCGGAAUGCGUGGUGUAGCGGUGAAAUGCUUAGAUAUCACGCAGAACUCCGAGUGCGAAGGCAGCCUGCUAAGCCAUGACUGACGCUGAUGCACGAAAGUGUGGGUAUCAAACAGGAUUAGAUACCCGAGUAGUC
rnacentral:rRNA from 1 species